CCAGACUCCUACGGGAGGCAGCAGUGGGGAAUAUUGGGCAAUGGGCGCAAGCCUGACCCAGCAACGCCGCGUGAAGGAAGAAGGCUUUCGGGUUGUAAACUUCUUUUGACAGGGAAGAGCAGAAGACGGUACCUGUCGAAUAAGCCACGGCUAACUACGUGCCAGCAGCCGCGGUAAUACGUAGGUGGCAAGCGUUGUCCGGAUUUACUGGGUGUAAAGGGCGUGUAGCCGGGCUGACAAGUCAGAUGUGAAAUCCGGGGGCUCAACCCCCGAACUGCAUUUGAAACUGUUGGUCUUGAGUAUCGGAGAGGCAGGCGGAAUUCCUAGUGUAGCGGUGAAAUGCGUAGAUAUUAGGAGGAACGCCAGUGGCGAAGGCGGCCUGCUGGGCUUUUACUGACGCUGAGGCUCGAAAGUGUGGGGAGCAAACAGGAUUAGAUACCCCGGUAAAA
rnacentral:rRNA from 1 species